rnacentral:rRNA from 1 species
GAUCAUGGCUCAGAACGAACGCUGGCGGCAUGCCUAACACAUGCAAGUCGAACGAGACCUUCGGGUCUAGUGGCGCACGGGUGCGUAACGCGUGGGGAUCUGCCCUUUGCUUCGGAAUAACAGUUAGAAAUGACUGCUAAUACCGGAUGAUGACUUCGGUCCAAAGAUUUAUCGGCAAAGGAUGAACCCGCGUAGGAUUAGCUAGUUGGUGGGGUAAAGGCCUACCAAGGCGACGAUCCUUAGCUGGUCUGAGAGGAUGAUCAGCCACACUGGGACUGAGACACGGCCCAGACUCCUACGGGAGGCAGCAGUGGGGAAUAUUGGACAAUGGGCGAAAGCCUGAUCCAGCAAUGCCGCGCGAGUGAUGAAGGCCUUAGGGUUGUAAAGCUCUUUUACCCGGGAUGAUAAUGACAGUACCGGGAGAAUAAGCUCCGGCUAACUCCGUG